GGUGCCCUGUCUCAGACCCAACUUUUUUCAUCCUAAAUUAUUCCCUUUUAAAUGUUUUUGUUAUGAGGCUCUAAUUAUUGUUAUUUGCGAAUGAAUUUGUAAUCAUGUUAGCAAGUCAGUGGUAAGGUGGUGGAGCCCUAUCUCAGAUCCAUUUGUAAUCGUGCAUUAAGUUAACAUGUAGUUGUAUCUGCUUCUAUUUGAAGUUGAAAAGAAAUGGGUAAAAUAUAGUUAACACCCUUGUGGUUUGGGCUAAUGUCAGCCAAGUCCAAGACUUUUCAAAACGGACCAACUUGGUCCAUAAACUGUUACUUAUUUUCUCCUCUUUCUCACAAUGAUUAGGGACAAAGUUGGUCAAUUUUGAAAAGUCUCAAACCUGGCUGGCAUUAGCCCAAACCUUAGGAGUGUUAGCUAUAUUUUGCCCAAAACAAAUCUUUGUUCUUUUGGAAUAGAUAUGUGAUAUCUUCUUCAUUUCUAUAUCUUGUAGUUCAAUAUUAGGCUAGACAUGCUCAUAAUUAAAAGAUCUUUUUGUAUGCCAAUUACCUUUGAUUCUAUACCCAAAUUGAGUGUAUCUUUUUUGGGUUAAGUUAUAUUUGGGUUUUAAGCAGUUCUUAAUAUAAUGGUGUUUUUGCAACAUUGAGUCUGAUUUCCAUUCACUUUAGGCAAGGAUUGUUAGCACAUGACUUACUGAAUUUUUUUUAAAAGGCUUAUUUGCUAAUGAGGAUAUCAUCAAAGUUGCAUACAAUAUUCUUGUACUUUUGUCAUUCUGGUAUCACUAAGAAUGAAAGGCAGCUGUUGUGACAUUAAGUGCACAAAUAUAGGCAAUUGUUUCAUUUAUUUGUUAAUAGAUGAUAUUUGAGCAAAGAUAGAUAGCAGUUAUUUGAAAACUUUGCAAAAUGAUUUUAAACUGUUUGGGAAUUUUUUUAGAUUUAUAUGAUAUGGUGUGGUUGUAGAAGAGGGGAUGGGGUUCAAGAUGGAGGAGGAGAAAGCAACUCAAAGUUCAAGUCAUUAAACUAACUUGUAUAUAUUGGUGAGGUUAUUUUAGGUGAAGAGGAUGACCUCUGUUGCCAAUAGUGAGCUUGAUGAAAGAGUAAUGGGCAUCAUGGUUCUCCUCAAUUAGAAUGGCUUUGCUUGGGAUGAAAUUUGCAAAAUAGUGGCAGCUGAUGUUGAGCUUUGGGAAGCUUGUAUGAAGGAUCAUCUGGAUGCAAUUGCAUAUAGAGAUAGGAUCUCAUAUUUGUGAAUUGUGCUUGAUUAAUGUUAAUGAAAGUCAAAAUGGAAGAUCAAGUUGUUUGGACAUGAAAAUGGAGAUCAACAAUAUUGCCCUUCCAAUGGGGUCAAUGAUAUAACUUGGGAUAUGCAAUAUCCAACUACGGAGUUUGAAAUAUCUUAUCAGUGGAAAUAAUAGAAAGUUUGUAACUUCUUAAGCCUUUGCAUGAUCUCAAAAAGUUCAGAGGACAUCUAGGAAAAGAUACAAGAAGCAGUUGAGCAAAUGCCAUGAGUAGUCAAAAUUGUUCCUAACAUGGAUGAGAAGCUCUUUUUGGAGGCUUGUGAACUUUUAAAAGAUGAGAGAAUGGCCAAGAAAGAUUUUUGGGAAUUCAUUCUUCAAAUGUUUGGAAUAUAGUACCGGCGUGUCUUAAGUGGUUAACUUGGAAGGAACCCAAUGCCCAAACAUUUUGUGGAAAUUGAGAGACAUAUAGAUCGGUUGAAGUCUUUGCUACUUAGGACUUUGAGUGGCCUCGUAUUUGGGGUUUUAUGCAUUGUAUUUCUUUGUUUGAUUUCCUUAAUUCUGUUAGCUUAUCCUUUUGAUUA